rnacentral:rRNA from 1 species
AGAGUUUGAUCCUGGCUCAGAACGAACGCUGGCGGCAUGCCUAACACAUGCAAGUCGAACGAGAUCUUCGGGUCUAGUGGCGCACGGGUGCGUAACGCGUGGGAAUCUGCCCUUUGGUUCGGAAUAACAGUUGGAAACGACUGCUAAUACCGGAUGAUGACGAAAGUCCAAAGAUUUAUCGCCAGAGGAUGAGCCCGCGUAGGAUUAGCUAGUUGGUGUGGUAAAGGCGCACCAAGGCGACGAUCCUUAGCUGUCUGAGAGGAUGAUCAGCCACACUGGGACUGAGACACGGCCCAGACUCCUACGGGAGGCAGCAGUGGGGAAUAUUGGACAAUGGGCGAAAGCCUGAUCCAGCAAUGCCGCGUGAGUGAUGAAGGCCUUAGGGUUGUAAAGCUCUUUUACCCGGGAUGAUAAUGACAGUACCGGGAGAAUAAGCUCCGGCUAACUCCGUGCCAGCAGCCGCGGUAAUACGGAGGGAGCUAGCGUUGUUCGAAAUUACUGGGCGUAAAGCGCACGUAGGCGGCUUUGUAAGUUA